rnacentral:rRNA from 1 species
UUGAACGCUGGCGGCAUGCCUUACACAUGCAGGUCGAACGGCAGCACGGGUGCUUGCACCUGGUGGCGAGUGGCGAACGGGUGAGUAAUACAUCGGAACAUGUCCUGUAGUGGGGGAUAGCCCGGCGAAAGCCGGAUUAAUACCGCAUACGAUCCACGGAUGAAAGCGGGGGACCUUCGGGCCUCGCGCUAUAGGGUUGGCCGAUGGCUGAUUAGCUAGUUGGUGGGGUAAAGGCCUACCAAGGCGACGAUCAGUAGCUGGUCUGAGAGGACGACCAGCCACACUGGGACUGAGACACGGCCCAGACUCCUACGGGAGGCAGCAGUGGGGAAUUUUGGACAAUGGGCGAAAGCCUGAUCCAGCAAUGCCGCGUGUGUGAAGAAGGCCUUCGGGUUGUAAAGCACUUUUGUCCGGAAAGAAAUCCUUGGCUCUAAUACAGUCGGGGGAUGACGGUACCGGAAGAAUAAGCACCGGCUAACUACGUG